rnacentral:rRNA from 1 species
UAUGGCCAUGCCACCCUGAACAAACCCAAUCCCGGCUGAUCUCCAAAGCUAAGCAGGGUCAGGCCUGGUUAGUACUUGGAUGGGAGACCACCUAGGAAGACCAGGUGGUGGGCAUAA